rnacentral:miRNA from 1 species
UCCAAUAGGAAUUCCUAUAGGAUCCUAUAGGAAUUCGUAUAGGAUCCUAUAGGAAUUCCUAUAGGAAUUCCUAUUAGAUUUUGGCCCAAUUUCCUAUAGGAAUUCCUAUAGGAUCCUAUAGGAAUUCCUAUAGGAUCCUAUAGGAAUUCCUAUAAGAU